CAUUUAUUGGCUAAAAGAGAGAGUCAGCUGAUCUUUCGGAGCCAACGAAUGACAUUCUGUGGAACAAAUUAAGCACAGAAUUGAUAUUAGCCACCCCGGAACGCGUGUUUAAGGCUGGUUAAUGACGCCACCAGUGGUGGAGUUCCACUUCCGGCAGCAAAGGUGGUAAAUCUUAGGAUGUGCAGCAUUUCGCAGCAAAACGCUUAACAGACC